AUGGACGCCGAGGGCUGGUACUCUGCCACUCUGGAGGCCAUCGCCACCGUGCAGUACACCUGCUCAGUGCCUGUCGGUCUCGUCGUCGACACGUUUGCCAGGGUCGGUGGCAAUUCCAUCCAGUUUGCUGCCAGGGGCUGCUACGUGGUCACGGUGGAGAUCGAUCCCUGGAAGGUGGAUCUGGUGAGGCACAAUGCCAGAAUCUAUGGCCUGGAGCAUUUGAUCGAGUUCGUUGUCGGCGAUUUCUUCCACCUCGCGCCUUACUUGAAGCAGGAUUUGGUGUUCCUUUCACCACCAUGGAGAGGGCCAUUAUACAAUAAGACUCCAAUGUACACCCUCGAUAUGCUGCUGCCAAAAGAUGUGCUUGCAAUAUUUCAGGCUGCUCAGAAGAUGGCCCCUAAUAUCAUCAUGUUCUUGCCACGGAAUGUGGACAUAGGCCAAGUAGAGGAACUUUCGUGGUUGUCUUCUCCUCCAUUAGAUUUUGAGAGUGAAGAGAGCUAUGAACAGCAGAGAUUCAAAGGAAUUACUGCCUACUCCCUCCGUCCCAAAAUAAGUGUCUCAGCUUUAUACUAA
rnacentral:rRNA from 1 species